rnacentral:rRNA from 1 species
ACGGACAAAGGGCAGCAAACUCGCAGAGGCAAGCAAAUCCCAUAAACCGUGGCUCAGUUCAGAUCGUAGGCUGCAACUCGCCUACGUGAAGCAGGAAUCGCUAGUAAUCGCAGGUCAGCAUACUGCGGUGAAUACGUUCCCGGGCCUUGUACACACCGCCCGUCACACCAUGGAAGUUGGCCACGCCCGAAGUCGUUACUCCAACCCUUGUGGAGGAGGACGCCGAAGGUGGGGCUGAUGACUGGGGUGAAGUCGUAACAAGGUAGCCGUACCGGAAGGUGCGGCUGGAUCACCUCCUAA